GGAACCAUUGGAGCUUGCUCCUUUGGUUUAGCGGCGGACGGGUGAGUAACACGUGGGCAACCUGCCCUGCAGAUCGGGAUAACUCCGGGAAACCGGUGCUAAUACCGAAUAGUUUGUCGCCUCUCCUGAGGCGGCACGGAAAGACGGUUUCGGCUGUCACUGCAGGAUGGGCCCGCGGCGCAUUAGCUAGUUGGUGGGGUAAUGGCCCACCAAGGCGACGAUGCGUAGCCGACCUGAGAGGGUGAUCGGCCACACUGGGACUGAGACACGGCCCAGACUCCUACGGGAGGCAGCAGUAGGGAAUCUUCCGCAAUGGACGAAAGUCUGACGGAGCAACGCCGCGUGAGUGACGAAGGUUUUCGGAUCGUAAAACUCUGUUGUGAGGGAAGAACAAGUGCCAACUAACUACUGGCACCUUGACGGUACCUCACCAGAAAGCCACGGCUAACUACGUGCCAGCAGCCGCGGUAAUACGUAGGUGGCAAGCGUUGUCCGGAAUUAUUGGGCGUAAAGCGCGCGCAGGCGGUUCUUUAAGUCUGAUGUGAAAGCCCACGGCUCAACCGUGGAGGGUCAUUGGAAACUGGAGAACUUGAGUGCAGAAGAGGAAAGUGGAAUUCCAUGUGUAGCGGUGAAAUGCGUACACAUGUGGAGGAACACCUCUGGCGAAGGCGACUUUCUGGCCUGUCCUGACGCUGAGGCGCGAAAGCGUGUGGAUCACACAGGAUUCCACACCCUGUUCGCCCACGUCCGUACUCUAUGAGUGCUUAGUGCUU
rnacentral:rRNA from 1 species